rnacentral:rRNA from 1 species
GACGAACGCUGGCGGCGUGCUUAACACAUGCAAGUCGAACGGAAAGGCCCUGCUUUUGUGGGGUGCUCGAGUGGCGAACGGGUGAGUAACACGUGAGUAACCUGCCCUUGACUUUGGGAUAACUUCAGGAAACUGGGGCUAAUACCGGAUAGGAGCUCCUGCUGCAUGGUGGGGGUUGGAAAGUUUCGGCGGUUGGGGAUGGACUCGCGGCUUAUCAGCUUGUUGGUGGGGUAGUGGCUUACCAAGGCUUUGACGGGUAGCCGGCCUGAGAGGGUGACCGGCCACAAUGGGACUGAGAUACGGCCCAGACUCCUACGGGAGGCAGCAGUGGGGAAUAUUGCACAAUGGGCGGAAGCCUGAUGCAGCAACGCCGCGUGCGGGAUGACGGCCUUCGGGUUGUAAACCGCUUUGGCAUGUGACGAAGCGUGAGUGACGGUAAUGGGUAAAGAAGCACCGGCUAACUACGUG